AAGCAGGAAGAUAUCAAGUGCAUGGCCAACAGAAAAGCAUCACAGAUUUCCAUACUUAUAUAAAUACGCAACCCAAGGAGAAAUCUAACAAGGAAGGUGCCUUCGAGGCGAUUUAGAUGCGGUUGCAAUAGAAUCCAGCACAAAACAAGCCUGCCUUCAUCAUUCAUGCUUGUCUCCCUUCAAGUCUACAAUCACCCACAUGCCAUUUCUGAACUGAAUUCAAAAGAUGUAUAGGGUGGAUGAACUGCAACGACAACCAUAUAAUUAUGGCAGAGAGUGGACACUUGGCUUGUCAGCAUCCAUGCGUCUCGCAUGGUCCUCGCGUCCACGCGUUGGGUGGAUGCUGCUCGGCAGAUAAAAUUCCUUCAUUUGUGUGGCUACAGGACCGGGGUCCCCCGCGCAAAGGGAUCGGCCGAGGGCUGGAGCCGGGAGGGCAGCAUUGAUUGGGUUGAGCUUUUGUGCAGUGGUGGUUAAUGGCCUCAUCUUAACUCUCCUUCCAUAUUCCUGUCACAUGGGCCUACAUGUACCCUGGGCGCUGCCAUGGGACCUGAAUAAAGGCCACAUGCCGAUGGGGCAGUGAUGAGAACGAUGGUGCUCUCCUCCUCCAUAUUGGCUUAAAAAGAUUGUGGCUGCUAAUUUCUGCUCUACUUCCUGUCAUGACCUCAUCAAGGUGCCAAAGGCUCUUAUUGCAAGUUUUCUGGGUUGGACUACAAAAUAAUAGCCUCCACCAACACUUCUUGCUUUGUCUUACAUGUAUAUACUAUGAAUGAAAUGUGAGUUGGUAUGAUGUUACUGGGCUGCCACGCAACGAAUCUCGAAAGACUUAAUUGUGUGGUUCCACAUGCAAGUUCAGCAGGAAAUAGACUAAACGAAUUAUGUGAAACAUGGAAAUGGAAGGACUGAAACUUUUCUCGAUACUUGAUGAGCUAAACAACUGCGUUUUGCAGUGAUUACAUGGGUGAGGUGGCUUCAGUGACAUCAACUUAAUACUCAUUACAGUGUUUCCGCUUUCCAUCGAAGCAGCAGGGCCAUCAAGUGAUAUGUGACCACAUCCACAAUGUGGAAACAUUGCAAUUAUAUGCUUGUCCUUCUUGUGUUUUUGUCCCUAUGAAUGAAAUCUGAGCUACACCAAGACUAUUUCCCACAAAUAAUAUUUUUUCUCUGCUUUUUACUGCAUGCACUAGUUUCUGAAAAUGAUAUUCAUCAUGUAAUAUA